UACAGAGGGUGCAAACGUUGUUCGGAAUUACUGGGCGUAAAGAGCGCGCAGGCGGUCGUACAAGUCGCGUGUGAAAGCCCCCGGCUCAACUGGGGAGGGUCACGCGAUACUGUUCGACUCGAAGGCAGGAGAGGGAAGUGGAAUUCCCGGUGUAGUGGUGAAAUGCGUAGAUAUCGGGAGGAACACCAGUGGCGAAGGCGACUUCCUGGCCUGUUCUUGACGCUGAGGCGCGAAAGCUAGGGUAGCAAACGGG
rnacentral:rRNA from 1 species